GUCAAUUGUCAAGCAGCCAAUGGGAUGGAAGAUUUCGCCACCUCUGCUCCAGCUGGCUCCUAUUUAAAGGGGCAGCUUGUGAACUGGGAACAGCCUCUUGCAAGAUUGUGCCAGAAGGUAGCUCAGCACCCAGUGGGAUGAAGGCUGCCGUGUUCCUGCUGCUCACCCUCCUGGUGCCCACGUACCAGACGGGUGCUCAGUGCAUCAUUGACGGUGCGGUCGAUCUGAAGUUGCAGGCAGCAAUUAGUUCCAUAGUGUCCUCCACCCUGGCCAAAGCCAAGCUACUCUGCCAGGACGUCUCUGCACGUGGGGCACUUGUCUCCUGCCCAGCAGGUGAGAGCACUUUCCCGAGUGCCCCGCAGACCCAAGGAGGGAGGGGCCACUGAGGCACAGACCCCAUCCCCUCUGCAAUCCUGGGUGGGUGUGGAGCUGGGGCAGCGAUGCACCACCAGCCUGCCUGGGGCCCCCCUGCCCAUGUGCUGCGCAGUGCCGGGAGCAAUGG